rnacentral:ncRNA from 1 species
CCAACCGAUGGAGGAGCGAUCCCCAAAAGUACCGCCGCGUAGGGUGAGGACCUUAGGAGGCUGCGGGAAAGGGGUGGAUCGCCGAAGGGUCUGCGCAAACCCCCUGCGCGAACCUUGGACGACCGGGCUAAUACCCGGCGGCUGUCGCGGGAAUCCUAAGCCUGCGGAGUGCCAAAGGUAUC